AUGCCUGAAACUGUUUUCCCCCCACAGGAAAGGAUUUCACACUCUUCGACGGGGAGUAAGCAUUUGAGCUCCAGCCCCUGCCCUCCCCCAGCCGAUCUGCUGCCAGGAGCAGGCGCAUUGCACAAGGAGGCAUUAAAAAGCUGUCUGUGGGUGCAUUACCCACUGAGUUAUAAGGCGUCCCUCCCUAUGUUCCUGCUGGACUGCAUUAAUGAGGAAGAAUGA
rnacentral:lncRNA from 1 species